GCGGCAGGAGCCCGGCGGCCGGUCCGGUGGGCCUGCAGCCCAGCUCCGGAGGGGAGCGCCGGCACCAUGAGCUCCUACCUGGACUACGUGUCCUGCGGCCGCGCCGGGGUCGGGGGCGACCUGCUCAGCCUGGCGCCCACGUUCCGCCGCGCCGACGCCCGGCCGGGGGCCCUGCAGCCCGCCUUCCCCCUGGGCAGCGGCGACGGCGCUUUCGUGGGCUGCCUGCCCCUGGCCGCCGCCCGCCGCCCCGCGCCUUCGCCGCCCGCCACCCCCGCGCCGCCGCCCGCCGCCCCGCCGUUCGCGCCGUGCCGCCUGGAGGGGGCCUACGAGCCGGGCGCCGCACCUGCCGCCGCGGGGGCCGCCGACCUCGCCUUCCUGGGGCCCGGGCCCGCCUUCGACUUCCCGGGCGCGCUCGGGCGGCCGGCCGACGACGGCGGGGCGCGCGUCCACUACGCCACCUCGGCCGUGUUCUCGGGCGGCGGCUCCGUGCUGCUCAGCGGCCAGGUGGACUGCGCGGCCUUCGGCGAGCCCGGCCCCUUCCCGGCGGGUCUCCGGGAGCCCGCCGACGGCCUCUCCGGGGCCUUCCAGAUCGCGUCCCCGGCCUCCGGCGCCUACCCCACGUCCGCCUCCCCGGCGUCCGGCCUCCCCGCCGCGCUCAGCACCUUCGAGUGGAUGAAAGUGAAGAGGAACGCCCCCAAGAAAAGCAAGCUCACCGAGUGUGGAGCCGCUAGCCCCUCCAGCGCGAUCCGCACGAAUUUCAGCACCAAGCAGCUGACAGAACUGGAGAAGGAGUUUCAUUUCAAUAAGUACUUGACCCGAGCCAGACGCAUCGAGAUAGCCAACUCCUUGCAGCUGAACGACACCCAAGUCAAAAUCUGGUUCCAGAACCGCAGGAUGAAGCAGAAGAAAAGAGAAAGAGAAGGGCUUUUGCCCUCUGCGGCCACCUCUGUGGCUUCCCUCCAGCUUACCCUCUCGCGCAAGAACCUGGGGAGCCCUUCUCAGGCCCAAGAGCCCUCAUGAGAUUGAGUCUUGAGGCUGAGGAAACUUGGCCUGCAGGAGUCACAGGCCAGCCCAUCCUUGUCUAGACUUAACUGGCUCAGUUUGGGGGAUGGAAGUGGGCCUGGGCGGGAAGAGAGGUUUCAUUUGGGAAAGGAAGUAUCUUAGUUGACUUCUGAGUUCCAGGCUGUGGGUGUACAGAUACUAAUUUGAGGUCUCUUUAAGCCACUCAUAUGUGUUUUAUCUGUGUCUUAUCAGGGAAAAGGUGCCUAGCUUGCCAGCCCAACCCUGCUGCUAUGUUGCCUUAGUCAUAUGCAAUUCCUGGGUGCAGAGCUCUGGCAACCCGCUAUGUGCUCCAAAGAGCGUUCACCCAAAGUUUUUCUGGUUUUAAUUUAAAGACGAGCUACUUGUAUUCAGCUUCUUGAGAUGACCAAAGCUAGUUAGAGCUUCCCUGAUGUAAAUAGCUAAGCUGCUUCAAUGAUGAUCUUGACAUUUGCACUCCAGUUUGCUUUUCUUUAAGAAGCAGUUUCUACCUCUCCAUGUGCCUGAGUGAAGAUACAAUCGCUGUUUAGAUAGUAGCUGAACAAAAAGCCACAAGUUUAACGGAGUUGAAGAAAUAAGAUUGUCAGCUCUAACAAACGCAGCUGAUAAGCGGGAAAAGAUAUCACUUAAAAAGCAGGUCUAUCACUGGAUGAAAGAGAAUUCAGUUCUAAAAAAGCAAAUACCUUUUCCAGAAUUAUGAUGAGACUGUGUUUAUAAAAGGAAAGUGAAUUUUUAGAAAUUAUCAAAUACAUCUCAUCAGUGGAGGUAACUAGCCCAUGUGGAUUAUUUAUAGAACAGUUCCCUUCUCAUUAUUCAGAACCUUGUAUUAUUUUGAGUCAGAUCUUCCAUGAAGUGUGAUAGUUACUACUCAAAUUGUGCAACUGCUAAAACAAUCCUAUUUCUAUUUAACAAGAUUUCAAAUUAAAUGUGCUAAUUCAUCUUUCAGUGACCCAUUACAGGAAGGAAUACACAAUGGACAGUCUGGCUGUUGUAUAAUUAAAUAUUCAAUGCUAGUUUUCACAGAAUGACCAUGUAUCUGUUUUUGUGCAUUCAUGAUAGUUGGGAGUGAGGAAAGAGAAAUAAAGCAUUGAAUAGCAUAUAAAAUUUCCAUUGCUUG